GAUGAAGAACGCAGCGAAAUGCGAUAAGUAAUGUGAAUUGCAGAAUCCAGUGAAUCAUCGAAUCUUUGAACGCACAUUGCGCCCGCCAGCAUUCUGGCGGGCAUGCCUGUCCGAGCGUCAUUUCAACCCUCAAGCUCAGCUUGGUGUUGGGCCCCGCCGCCCCGGCGGGCCCUAAAGUCAGUGGCGGUGCCGUCCGGCUCCGAGCGUAGUAAUUCUUCUCGCUCUGGAGGUCCGGUCGUGUGCUCGCCAGCAACCCCCAAUUUUUUUCAGGUUGACCUCGGAUCAGGUAGGGAUACCCGCUGAACUUAAGCAUAUCAAUAAGCGGAGGA
rnacentral:misc_RNA from 1 species